CCUACGGUGAGCAGCAGUGAGGAAUAUUGGUCAAUGGACGCAAGUCUGAACCAGCCAUGCCGCGUGCAGGAAGACGGCUCUAUGAGUUGUAAACUGCUUUUGUACGAGGGUAAACGCAGAUACGCGUAUCUGUCUGAAAGUAUCGUACGAAUAAGGAUCGGCUAACUCCGUGCCAGCAGCCGCGGUAAUACGGAGGAUUCAAGCGUUAUCCGGAUUUAUUGGGUUUAAAGGGUGCGUAGGCGGUCGGAUAAGUUAGAGGUGAAAUCCCGAGGCUCAACUUCGGAAUUGCCUCUGAUACUGUUCGGCUAGAGAGUAGUUGCGGUAGGCGGAAUGUAUGGUGUAGCGGUGAAAUGCUUAGAGAUCAUACAGAACACCGAUUGCGAAGGCAGCCUCCUGGGACAUAACUGACGCUCAGGCACGAAAGCGUGGGGAGCAAACAGGAUUAGAUACCCCUGUAGUC
rnacentral:rRNA from 1 species